CAGCGACCCCAGGUCAGGCGGGACUACCCGCUGAGUUUAAGCAUAUC
rnacentral:rRNA from 1 species